UCUCAGGGGCGAGACCAGGCUGGCAGUUGUGGUGGUGGGUGUUGAGCUAUGGAUGUGACCACAGCAGGGCAGUUGGCCGAUGGCCCACUGGGAGAGACCCCCAGGAGUAACAGCCAUGGUCCUUGGAGAGAAGGUCCAGGCAGAGGACAGGGUCACUUGGGCCAGAAAGCACUGGGACAGCCACUGCGAGCAAGAAGGACCAGGGGUGUCUGCUGACUCUCCUCCAGGGAGCUCAAGCCUGCAGGUCCUUUGAUUCUGAGGGUGGAUGAGGCCUAAGACAGGCCAGGUGGGCUGUGAGACCCCCAGGGGGCAGAGCCCUGGCCCCAAGCAGCUCUGGCCCCUGCUGUUGCUGGGCUUGGCCAUGGGCGCCCAUUGCCAGCUGCCCCCAACGACAGCAGCACCACCAAGCAGGGUCCCAGGCCCUGGAGCCCCAGCAGGAAGCAGCCCUCGGAGCCUAUGGGACAGGUUCCUGUUCUGGCCUGGCCCCCACGGGGCAGGCCCCAGGUGCUGGCCUGGUGGGUUUUGGUCCGAAACUCAAUCACCCUGGCUUGUUUUCAGUGAAGGAACCCAGCUCACCGUCCUAGGUCAGCCCAAGUCCGCACCCUUGGUCAUGCUCUUCCUGCCCUUCUCUGAGGAGCUCAGAGCCAACAAGGCCAUCCUGGUGUGCCUCAUCAGUGACUUCUACCCUGGCAACUUGACGGUGACCUGGAAGGCAGACGGGACCCCUGUCACCCAGGGCGUGGAGACCACCAAGCCUUUCAAACAGAGCAACAACAAGUAUGUGGCCAGCAGCUACCUGAGUCUGUCACCUGACAAGUGGAAAUCUCAUAGCAAUUUUACCUGCCAGGUCACACACGAGGGGAGCACCGUGGAGAAGAGGGUGGUGCCCUCAGAGUGCUCUUAGGUGCCUGAGACCCCCACCCACCCAAGAGGAUGUGCAGCCAAUGGACCUCCAGGAAGGUCUCUCCUCCCACCAGGAUCAUCCCAGCCCUUCUCCCUGCACCCAAUCAAUGCUCAAUAAAAAGUCCUUCACUCAA